rnacentral:rRNA from 1 species
GACAUCCAGCGAACUUGGCAGAGAUGCCUUGGUGCCUUCGGGAACGCUGAGACAGGUGCUGCAUGGCUGUCGUCAGCUCGUGUUGUGAAAUGUUGGGUUAAGUCCCGNAACGAGCGCAACCCUUAUCCUUUGUUGCCAGCGAUUCGGUCGGGAACUCAAAGGAGACUGCCGGUGAUAAACCGGAGGAAGGUGGGGAUGACGUCAAGUCAUCAUGGCCCUUACGAGUAGGGCUACACACGUGCUACAAUGGCGCAUACAAAGAGAAGCGACCUCGCGAGAGCAAGCGGACCUCAUAAAGUGCGUCGUAGUCCGGAUCGGAGUCUGCAACUCGACUCCGUGAAGUCGGAAUCGCUAGUAAUCGUGGAUCAGAAUGCCACGGUGAAUACGUUCCCGGGCCUUGUACACACCGCCCGUCACACCAUGGGAGUGGGUUGCAAAAGAAGUAGGUAGCUUAACCUUCGGGAGGGCGCUUACCACUUUGUGAUUCAUGACUGGGGUGAAGUCGUAACAAGGUAGGCGUAGCGAG